CCUACGGGAUGCAGCAGUGGGGGAUAUUGCACAAUGGGGGAAACCCUGAUGCAGCGACGCCGCGUGGGCGAAGAAGUAUUUCGGUAUGUAAAGCCCUAUCAGCAGGGAAGAAGAAAUGACGGUACCUGAGUAAGAAGCACCGGCUAAAUACGUGCCAGCAGCCGCGGUAAUACGUAUGGUGCAAGCGUUAUCCGGAUUUACUGGGUGUAAAGGGAGCGCAGGCGGCACGGCAAGUCUGAUGUGAAAGCGCGCGGCCCAACCGCGGGACUGCAUUGGGGACUAGCGGGCUGGAGUGCCGGAGAGGUAGGCGGAAUUCCUGGUGUAGCGGUGAAAUGCGUAGAUAUUAGGAGGAACACCAGUGGCGAAGGCAGCCUACUGGACGGUGACUGACGCUGAGGCUCGAAAGCGUGGGGAGCAAACAGGAUUAGAUACCCCAGUAGUC
rnacentral:rRNA from 1 species